rnacentral:tRNA from 1 species
GCAUUGGUGGUUCGGUAGUAGAAUUCUGGCCCUCCACGCAGUAGACCUGGGUUCCAUUCCCAGCCAAUGCA